rnacentral:rRNA from 1 species
UAGUAGGUCCCAAGGGUUGGGCUGUUCGCCCAUUAAAGUGGUACGCGAGCUGGGUUCAGAACGUCGUGAGACAGUUCGGUCCCUAUCCGUCGCAGGCGUAGGAAAUUUGAGAAGACCUGUCCUUAGUACGAGAGGACCGGGAUGGACGUACCUCUGGUGUACCAGUUGUCCUGCCAAGGGCAUGGCUGGGUAGCUAUGUACGGAAUGGAUAAGCGCUGAAAGCAUCUAAGCGCGAAGCCAACUUCAAGAUAAGAUUUCCCACCGCAAGGGUAAGACCCCAGAAAGACUAUCUGGUUGAUAGGUCGAAGGUGUAAGUGCAGCAAUGUAUUUAGCUUAUCGAUACUAAUAGGUCGAGGACUUGACCAA